AAUAAGUACAGUUUUAGCAAUGUUCAUGUUCAACGUUUGACCGCUCGUCUUAUUUGAAAAACAAUUAUAAUUAGUAUUUUUAUUGUUGUUAGAUGAUAAUACAUGAAUAGUAUUUAUGUGUGACUAAUAUUUUUAUUUUUUUCAUAAAAUUUUCAAAUACGAACGGUCAAAAUACUGGACAUGAAUAUCUAUGGCUACACUUAUU
rfam:Oryza glumipatula chromosome 1, whole genome shotgun sequence.